rnacentral:misc_RNA from 1 species
AAGUCGUAACAAGGUAACCGUAGGUGAACCUGCGGUUGGAUCAUUAACAAUGGUUUUCAAACCUUAUACUGUGCACUUUUAUGUUCUUGGUGGUUUCUGUUGUGUCCUGAAAGGGGCACAUAGGGCCACCGCUCUUUGUAAAACACUAUCCAAUGAGUCUUGAAUACCAAGUAAAACAUUAAAACUUUUGACAACGGAUCUCUUGGCUCUC